GUACCCGGGCGAAUUCCAAGCUUGAGUUUGAUCCUGGCUCAGAACGAACGCUGGCGGCGUGCCUAACACAUGCAAGUCGAACGAGAAGGGGGCUUCGGUCCCUGGAAAGUGGCGCACGGGUGAGUAACGCGUGGAUAAUCUACCUAGUGGUCUGGGAUAACAUCUCGAAAGGGGUGCUAAUACCGGAUAAGCCCACGAGGUCUACGGAUCUAGCGGGAAAAGGGGGGGACUUUCGGGCCUUCUGCCACUGGAUGAGUCCGCGUACCAUUAGCUAGUUGGUGGGGUAAUGGCCCACCAAGGCUACGAUGGUUAGCUGGUCUGAGAGGAUGAUCAGCCACACUGGAACUGAGACACGGUCCAGACUCCUACGGGAGGCAGCAGUUAGGAAUCUUCCACAAUGGGCGCAAGCCUGAUGGAGCAACACCGCGUGCUGGAUGAAGGCCUUCGGGUCGUAAACAGCUUUUGUAUACGAAGAAUAUGACGGUAAUAUACGAAUAAGGGUCGGCUAACUACGUGCCAGCAGCCGCGGUCAUACGUAGGACCCAAGCGUUAUCCGGAGUGACUGGGCGUAAAGAGUUGCGUAGGCGGUCUUUCAAGCGAGUAGUGAAAUCUGGUGGCUCAACCAUCAACCCAUUGCUCGAACUGGGAGACUUGAGAGUGGUAGAGGUAGCUGGAAUUUCUUGUGUAGGAGUGAAAUCCGUAGAUAUAAGAAGGAACACCAAUGGCGUAGGCAGGCUACUGGACCAUUUCUGACGC
rnacentral:rRNA from 1 species